rnacentral:piRNA from 1 species
UCCUACCCAUCUGAUGCUGCAAAGUGGCAGU